ensembl:processed_transcript Usp46os2 ubiquitin specific peptidase 46, opposite strand 2
CCUCUUACCGGAGCCGCAAACCCACGAUGAACUCACCGUUCUCUUUCCUCAGCCUUGAAAUGAACUUCUUUGGUGGGAUGACGCCAACCUUCUUCUUCUGCGUGGCAAUGCUGUGGAAAAGGUCUGCCAGGCAUGUCAACAGGUUUUCCUUCUUUUUUUGCUGGGCCUUGUAUGCCAACACAUUCUCCCGGAACGGCCGGCAGAAGUACAGCGCUUGAAGCACGGAGUUACAGUAGCAUGUGUUUCCAAACUGCCAAAGCACAAGAGGAGAGGCUGCAAUCAUCGCCCGGGCAUAAGCCACUGCCGGACAGGAGCUGGGAGAGAGGUGCCACCGCUGGACAAGAGGAGGGAGGUGCCACCGCCGGACAGGAGAGGGGAGGGAGGUGCCAGGAUCCCGGAACCUGCCAAUCCCUGCGUUCCCGUAUCAGAGCCCAGCGUGUCUAAUUAGGUAAAGAUGGAUCUGAUCAACAAGGUCAGGGGCAAAGGGGUACAGCAGUGGUUCUCACGCUUCCUGAUGCUGUGACCCCCUGAUGAUGUGGUGUCACCCCCCCCCGCAACGAUAAAACUACUUCAUAACUGU